rnacentral:rRNA from 1 species
CAAUCAAACCGGGAGAUAGCUGGUUCUCCCCGAAAGCUAUUUAGGUAGCGCCUCGUGAAUUCAUCUCCGGGGGUAGAGCACUGUUUCGGCUAGGGGGCCAUCCCGGCUUACCAACCCGAUGCAAACUGCGAAUACCGGAGAAUGUUAUCACGGGAGACACACGGCGGGUGCUAACGUCCGUCGUGAAGAGGGAAACAACCCAGACCGCCAGCUAAGGUCCCAAAGUCAUGGUUAAGUGGGAAACGAUGUGGGAAGGCCCAGACAGCCAGGAUGUUGGCUUAGAAGCAGCCAUCAUUUAAAGAAAGCGUAAUAGCUCACUGGUCGAGUCGGCCUGCGCGGAAGAUGUAACGGGGCUAAACCAUGCACCGAAGCUGCGGCAGCGAACGUAUCACCCAAGACAACUUUACGGAGUUGACGAUUGACGGAGCGAAGCGACGUCAAAGCGUUCAUUAAAGUCGAGUUGGCUUAGGGAUACGUUCGUUGGGUAGGGGAGCGUUCUGUAAGCCUGUGAAGGUGUGUCGUGAGGCAUGCUGGAGGUAUCAGAAGUGCGAAUGCUGACAUAAGUAACGAUAAAGCGGGUGAAAAGCCCGCUCGCCGGAAGACCAAGGGUUCCUGUCCAACGUUAAUCGGGGCAGGGUGAGUCGACCCCUAAGGCGAGGCCGAAAGGCGUAGUCGAUGGGAAACGGGUUAAUAUUCC